rnacentral:rRNA from 1 species
ACACAUGCAAGUCGAACGAGAGAUGAGGAGCUUGCUCUUCAAAUCGAGUGGCGAACGGGUGAGUAACGCGUGAGGAACCUGCCUCAAAGAGGGGGACAACAGUUGGAAACGACUGCUAAUACCGCAUAAGCCCACGGCUCGGCAUCGAGCAGAGGGAAAAGGAGCAAUCCGCUUUGAGAUGGCCUCGCGUCCGAUUAGCUAGUUGGUGAGGUAACGGCCCACCAAGGCGACGAUCGGUAGCCGGACUGAGAGGUUGAACGGCCACAUUGGGACUGAGACACGGCCCAGACUCCUACGGGAGGCAGCAGUGGGGAAUAUUGCACAAUGGGGGAAACCCUGAUGCAGCGACGCCGCGUGGAGGAAGAAGGUCUUCGGAUUGUAAACUCCUGUUGUUGAGGAAGAUAAUGACGGUACUCAACAAGGAAGUGACGGCUAACUACGUGCCAGCAGCCGCGGUAAAACGUAGGUCACAAGCGUUGUCCGGAAUUACUGGGUGUAAAGGGAGCGCAGGCGGGAGAACAAGUUGGAAGUGAAAUCCAUGGGCUCAACCCAUGAACUGCUUUCAAAACUGUUUUUCUUGAGUAGUGCAGAGGUAGGCGGAAUUCCCGGUGUAGCGGUGGAAUGCGUAGAUAUCGGGAGGAACACCAGUGGCGAAGGCGGCCUACUGGGCACCAACUGACGCUGAGGCUCGAAAGUGUGGGUAGCAAACAGGAUUAGAUACCCUGGUAGUCCACACCGUAAACGAUGAUUACUAGGUGUUGGAGGAUUGACCCCUUCAGUGCCGCAGUUAACACAAUAAGUAAUCCACCUGGGGAGUACGACCGCA